UUAACCAGGUGAUUAUCAAAAGUAUAAUAUACUGCAAAGUCAGUCAUCUGUUGGUAAAAUCCUUGGAUCUUUGGAUCAAUCUGCAACAUAUAGGGACGCUAUCAGACAUGUCCAAGAACCAUUAAGAUUAAAUGAUUGUAAAUUUGAAGCCUAUAUUAAAUUUGAUGCUAAAACAUGCAAGCAACUCAUGGCCGAGGGUGAAAAGGCACGAGAAAAGGGCAACUACUAUUUUAACAAAAAAGAUUUUAAUCAAGCAAUAAUCCAUUAUGAUAUAGCAAAGAAAAAGGACCCUUACGAUCACCGGGUUUGGUCCAACUGCAGUCAGGCGCUCUUUAAGGUGGGGCAGUAUGCCUAUGCUGAGUCGGAUGCCCUCAUUGCCAUCAAGUUGAACCCUUU